rnacentral:lncRNA from 1 species
AAGCGAUCAAGAGGAUUUCCCUGAAGUCCAUGUCUGGCCGAAGAGAAAAGCCCGGCUGGGCCGGGGACUCGGGACGCGGUGGAUGCGAGUCUUGCCUCUCGCUGAGCCUAAGCGCUACUGACUGGCUUGCCUUGGUGGCCCUUCUCUCGCCGCCCCUCGACACCGACACUUCCGGCGCCUUCUAAUGCCGUGUACCGCCCCCGCGCUGCCGCCGAAUACGAAGUAUGUGUGUGUAUGUAUACACACAUACACACACACACUCACACACACACGCUCAGCGCCUCCGCAGCGCUCGCAAGUAUUUGCGCAACUUCCGCUUUCGGAGAUAAGACACGGAAAACGGCUGGUGCGACAGGUCUGGAGCAAGGGAUCUCGGUUUCGUUUCGCUGGAGCCCCGAAGCUACGCAUGCGCACAAGAAUCCUGUCCCUGGGACGCCAGUUAUCUCCUGGAGGCACCUGAUGUUCUUUUAAAAACCUAGGGAAAGAGCGAAGACCUUCGUCACAUGCCAAGCAGAACUUGACUCUGACGCACUGCAGAAUAUAGUGCAUUCAUUGGGAGUCUAGCCUGACUUUCUUUUGCGUUAUCUUGAAUUUGGUCAUUUCGACUCAAUAAAG